UAGUGCAAAUUAAGGCCUCAAACGGAGUCUAAUUGCAGUCUUCAUGGUUUGUUUUAGCACCUGGCUGACGAGGGAACAAGUUUUCAUAUAAAAGCCUCCCGGACCAGUUUGUGCAUGACAUCACAUACAGAGUGGAGUGGAGUCAGACUUGAUGUUCUGGACAUGCACCAAAAAUGUUUCCUUCUGGUCUUUGACCCGGAAGUAGAAGACCUGAGGAGACUGCACUGCUAUUGCUGGAAAAUAACAAUGCAAGUUGUGUCAGCGAGAGCGAAAGCUACAGAGAAGACCUUCUUUUGGACUGACUAAGAGGCAUGU